ensembl:lncRNA
AUGCACACGCACACAGAUACAUACAUGCACACACAGACCCACACACACAGACAUGCACAUGCACAAACACGGCAAAGGAAACCCAGCCUGCCACCCUCAGACAGGUGCCAGAUGGUGGCCUCAGCUGCCCACAGCUGCCUGCCCCUCCCAACCCCCUCACUGGCACACACCUCCUUCUUUACUGGCCUGUAUUUAUUGUGCACCCACUGGGUGCGUGGCCCAGCCACGGACAGACACUUGUUGGCGACUCUCAAGUGCCAGCCCCACCUGGUGGAGUUGCAGGCCCCCGUGUUGGUUACAGGCACGAAGGGGAGGGCAGGGUGGCAGGAAGGCUGGAGAGGCCGCGCGUGCGUCAGCCAGCAGGCGGGUGGCGAGAGGCCCCUUUUGGCAGGCAGCCGGCUCUCACACUUGGCUGAACAGAGACAAUGGUGGCUGCUUGGCGGCCCGGCCUCCUUCCCACAGGCAGAGCCUCGGGUCCUCAAGUGUCCGGAGAACAGCCCAGCUGGGAGGCGGCCAAAGGGAGCACAAGGGGGCUUCCCAGGGAGGGUGGAAAGGGCCCCUGGGAGCAGGCUGAGGGAGGGAAGGGAUUCCUGAGUGAGUCCUGGAGCUUCCAGGGGAGAGGUUUGUGGGGAGGGAGCCAGGCCUUCACGGCCCCUCACAACUCUCCAGAGCCCCCAGGGGACACCGCAUGCGUCACCACCUCUUACCCUUAUCCUCCCCAAACGUGGAGCACCUCCUUCCCUGCUCUGGGGUGGCAAAGGCCCUUGUUACAGGGCUCUCUACUGAGCUGUGGGCACCCUCUCCCCUUACAGCCCUCGCUGACCACCGUUGGUUCCACUCUGAUGAUCAGCCAUUGGCCAUGGGAGGCAAGGCCUCUCUCAUCUGCCCCCUAUAUGUGCAGGAUGUAGGGAAGACCAAACAAAGGCAGGGGGCCCCAGAGCCAGCCUCACUGAGCCCUUGAACUUGCCGAGUCUCUGGUCCUGCCCAGAAGGCUGUUCCCCGAAGUGGACAGGGCCCAGCUGGGGUCUCCCAGGACCUCUUCCAGCAAGUCACCUGAUUUCCAGAGCAAGACCGCUCCCAGUGCUGCAGCUUCCCUAACCUGUCUGUGCCAAGGUCUCUACUGCCCUGGUCUCUGUCCCUGAGGAUGGGGAAGCUCGCAGGGCCUCUGACUCAAAGACAGAGAGCCGAGCAACUCCCCAGGUCCAGGAAAGGUGUCCUCUGUGGCUUCUGGAGGGAUGGAGGGUAGAAUGGGAUGAACUGUGGGAGCUGAGUCAAGUCUUUGACCUCUGUCCUCUCUUGGGAGCAGCCGGGGUGGGGGCAACAGUAUCAGGAGAACUCCAGUGGGGUGAGUGAGGGAAGGAAGGGGGGACCACACUAGCGUAUCCUUCCACAGGGAAGAGGCAGGGCCCCAUCCUCAGCACGGACCCGAUGAUAUAAGGCUAUUCCUAGGGUUUCAUCCCAAAUCCACCGCAGGCCCAGGCUGCGGUGGGUAGUUGGUGAGGUGACCCUGGCUUCACAGUUGAUUGCGGUUCCGUUUGGGGAUGAUCUUCCGGUAGGUUCUGCGCUCUGAGAUGUUGCGCUUGACCUUGGCCGUGGUGGGGGCCUCAUCCUGGUGCAGCGACGGGCUGGAGUGGGACUUCUUCAGGCUGGGCUUGGGCUCCUGCAGGCCUCCAGCCUCCCUCCCCAGCUGCUCCUCCCACAGGUCCAGGUCUUCCGACGGGCAGUGUAGACGGGCCACAAGCAGCUGUAGGUAGGUCUCAUAGCGGGUUUUCUGGAACACAUAUGGGUCCCACUGCCUCAGCACCACCCCAGUUCCAGGUCAGGAGGGGGCUGGGAUCACACAGACAGAUCACACUGAAUGAUGCUACAGGCACAGAGACUUUAGAAAGAGGGCUGGGCCAACAGCUAGCAUUCACUUGAACAGCGAUCUCUGCACAUCCUGUCCUUCCUCAGGUAUCUUAGAGUUACACCCAUCAGCCUGGCCCUGUUUGAUACAGCCAACACUGCCUGGUGCUGUAACUAACAUUUCUGGAGCACGUUACAUCGCUGAGACACUAAAAGAUCCAUAAGCCACUAGGCUAGAGAUCUGUGCAGCACUGCACACAAACAGCACACAUCUGUACGCAGCCCUCAUUGAGUCUGAAUAGCAUUUUAACAACUGGCAUCUGGAGAGCAUGGCGCUAACUACCCUCAUCUGCUUAACACUCCUCGGGCCCCCGUAACUAGCAUCCUUCAGAUACAGUUCCCACCCUCCAGCCCCCUGGGUCCUCAUCCACGCCCUGGGAGGCUGGGUGGGAGUCAUCGCUGUGCUUUAUAAAGAGGGAGGGUCAGUGUUAGUCGAUCAGUCAUGUCUGAUUCUGCGACCCCAUGGACUGUAAGCCACCAGACUCCUCUGUCCAUAAGAUUCUCCAGGCAAGAAUACUGGAUUGGGCUGUCGUUUCUUUCUCCAGGGGAUCUUUCUGCCCCAGGGACCGAACCCAGGUUCUCCUGCAUCGCUGGCAGCUUCUUUACCAUCUGAGCCACCAGGUAAGCCCACCAGGGAGGGUCAAGGCCCUGCUAAAGGUCCCAGCGAAAGGUUGGUCAGUGGUGGGGAAUGGCUGGAGUGUGGCAGGCAGGGCUGGAUCCUAUCAGCCACCCCUGGGACCUCGGGGAAGUGGCAUGCUCACGGCUAUGGAUGCAGCCAACGCCCCAAGAGGAAGAGCUAGAAAGGGAGGUAGAGGAUAGUGCAAGGCUAGUGGACACAGACAGGAGGUGACACUGACGCUUGCUCCCCUCUCCCCUCCCUGCCCCUGGGUGGCCUCUGCCUUCCUCUCUUGUCACAUUGCCCUACACCCCGCUCCUGCUGAAUUUGGACGCAGGAUUGGGGGUGGAGUGAGGAAAAUAUUUCAGCAGCAGAGAGCUAACAAAGAUCAUUCCUUAGUUACAGCCAUAAAUGAGGCAUGGAUGUGAUCAGGUCUCAUGAAAGUAUAUCAGGUGUGAACAAGUUUAAUCUCUCUGUGCCUCAGUUUCCUCAUCUGUAAACUGAGGAUUAGUGUCCUUACCCCAGAGUAGCUGGAUGACUAAAUAAGACAAUCCAUGCAACAAGCUUCAGAAAUACUGCCUACUAUAAUAGUAUUAGGCAGGUAUGAGGGGAAAUAUAUAUUCUGUUAAAAUAUAGUUUUUCCAGGAUUUCCCUGGCGGUCCAGUGGUUAAGACUCAGCACUCCCAAUGCAGGGGGCAUGGGUUAGAUCCCUGGUCGGGAACUAAGCUCCCAUGUGCCAAAAGGUGUGGCCAAGAAAAUUAUAUAUACAUACACACACACACACACAUAUAUAGUACAUUUACAUAUAUAUAAUAAUAUAAUAAUUGGGCCUCCCAGGUGGCUCAGAUGGUAAAGAAAGGUCCUGCAAAGCAAGGGACCUGGGCUUGAUCCCUGGGUUGGCAAGAUCGCAGGGCCUCUGACUCAAAGACAGAGAGCCGAGCAACUCCCCAGGUCCAGGAAAGGUGUCCUCUGUGGCUUCUGGAGGGAUGGAGGGUAGAAUGGGAUGAACUGUGGGAGCUGAGUCAAGUCUUUGACCUCUGUCCUCUCUUGGGAGCAGCCGGGGUGGGGGCAACAGUAUCAGGAGAACUCCAGUGGGGUGAGUGAGGGAAGGAAGGGGGGACCACACUAGCGUAUCCUUCCACAGGGAAGAGGCAGGGCCCCAUCCUCAGCACGGACCCGAUGAUAUAAGGCUAUUCCUAGGGUUUCAUCCCAAAUCCACCGCAGGCCCAGGCUGCGGUGGGUAGUUGGUGAGGUGACCCUGGCUUCACAGUUGAUUGCGGUUCCGUUUGGGGAUGAUCUUCCGGUAGGUUCUGCGCUCUGAGAUGUUGCGCUUGACCUUGGCCGUGGUGGGGGCCUCAUCCUGGUGCAGCGACGGGCUGGAGUGGGACUUCUUCAGGCUGGGCUUGGGCUCCUGCAGGCCUCCAGCCUCCCUCCCCAGCUGCUCCUCCCACAGGUCCAGGUCUUCCGACGGGCAGUGUAGACGGGCCACAAGCAGCUGUAGGUAGGUCUCAUAGCGGGUUUUCUGGAACACAUAUGGGUCCCACUGCCUCAGCACCACCCCAGUUCCAGGUCAGGAGGGGGCUGGGAUCACACAGACAGAUCACACUGAAUGAUGCUACAGGCACAGAGACUUUAGAAAGAGGGCUGGGCCAACAGCUAGCAUUCACUUGAACAGCGAUCUCUGCACAUCCUGUCCUUCCUCAGGUAUCUUAGAGUUACACCCAUCAGCCUGGCCCUGUUUGAUACAGCCAACACUGCCUGGUGCUGUAACUAACAUUUCUGGAGCACGUUACAUCGCUGAGACACUAAAAGAUCCAUAAGCCACUAGGCUAGAGAUCUGUGCAGCACUGCACACAAACAGCACACAUCUGUACGCAGCCCUCAUUGAGUCUGAAUAGCAUUUUAACAACUGGCAUCUGGAGAGCAUGGCGCUAACUACCCUCAUCUGCUUAACACUCCUCGGGCCCCCGUAACUAGCAUCCUUCAGAUACAGUUCCCACCCUCCAGCCCCCUGGGUCCUCAUCCACGCCCUGGGAGGCUGGGUGGGAGUCAUCGCUGUGCUUUAUAAAGAGGGAGGGUCAGUGUUAGUCGAUCAGUCAUGUCUGAUUCUGCGACCCCAUGGACUGUAAGCCACCAGACUCCUCUGUCCAUAAGAUUCUCCAGGCAAGAAUACUGGAUUGGGUUGCCAUGCCCUUCUCCAGGAGAUCUUCCCGAUCCAGGAUCGAACCCAAGUCUCCUGCAUUGGCAGGUGGGUCCUUUACCACUGAGCCACCAGGGAAGCCCAAUAGAGUUUAUAUCAAAUGCCAAAAAUGAUCAAGUGUUCGUGGCUUCCUGGAAUCCUCUGUUUGGAACUGAGAGGCUUAGUCCAACCUUCAAGGAAGAGGCGGUCCCAGGGGUGAAAUGGGCUUAAGGCGGGGAAUGGAAGCUGGAAGUUCCCCGCUCUCCACACUUCAUGUGUACCUGGGACCCACCAGUGACACAUCCCAGGUCAAGCCUGCACCUCCCUCCAGGGUGGGGCCAGCACCCGUCAGAGGAUGAGAGGUUUACAGGAGGAAAGUGGGGCCUUGCUAUCGCCCAUCCCCACCCCUGACUUACGGUGCCUGGAAAAGGUAGAGGCGCCAGUCGGCCGUGCGCAGCUGGAAGACAUGUGGCUUCUUGGUGUAGUGGGUGGCAGGGGUGGCCAGUGAGUGGUGCACCCCCACCGGCUCAUCCACCAUCUGCCCCACCAAACUCUCCCCAUCAAGGGCGUGGUCCUCUCCCUGCCACAGGGCAACAGGGGCUCAGAAAAGAGGUUUCCAUCAGCUGCCCACCCUCCUACACUGCCCAUCAGGGUGCAGACACCUCCCUACCUUCAGGAAGU